CUCGCUUCUUGGCCUUUUGGCUGAGAUCAAGUGUAGUAUCUGUUCUUAUCAGGCAGUCCACUGGUGAGGAUGGAUGACUGCGUGUAGGAGCAGGUGUUUCGGGGCUGGUGCCAAAACUCACUGGGUGGAUGGGACCCAUUGAGUUGAAGCACUGCACCAUUUACUCUUCAGCUUGGUAGCCCGU